UACGAGAGGCCCAAACGUUAUUCGGAAUUACUGGGCUUAAAGAGUUCGUAGGCGGCAUUGCAAGUAGGGUGUGAAAGCCCUCGGCUCAACCGAGGAAUUACGCUCUAAACUGCAGUGCUUGAGGAACCUAGAGGUGAGCAGAACAGAUGGUGGAGCGGUGAAAUGCGUUGAUAUCAUCUGGAAUACCGGAGGCGAAGGCGGCUCACUGGGAGUUUUCUGACGCUGAGGAACGAAAGCCAGGGUAGCGAACGGG
rnacentral:rRNA from 1 species